CAUUAAUACCUUAAUUUAUAUUUUGUUUACAAUAAAUUAUUUAAAUAUAAUAAAAUUUUUAGUUCUUUUUGGUCCUUUCGUACUAAAAAAGACAACCUAACAAUUUAAAAGAUAGAAACCAACCUGGCUCACGCCGGUCUGAACUCAGAUCAUGUAAAAUUUUAAAAAUCGAACAGAUUUACCUACUAAAGCUUCUACACCUUAAGGUUAUUUUAAUCCAACAUCGAGGUCGCAAACUCACUUUUUAAUAAGAACUCUCUAAGCAAAUUACGCUGUUAUCCCUGUGGUAACUAUAAUAAAAGCAAUAUAAAUUUAUUGGUUACUUUUUACAAAUAAACUUAAUACUCUAAGGAAGUUAUUAAAUUAUAAUUUUAUUCCUUAAUCACCCCAACUAAAAUUUAUUUUCUUAUUAAUACUUCAACUAUUAAUAAUAUAAAAAUUUAAGCUCAACAGGGUCUUCUCGUCCCUUUAAAAAAUUCAAGCUUUUUCACUUUAAAAAUCAAUUUCUAAUAAAUAAUAUAGAGACAGAUAAACCUUCGUCAAACCAUUCAUUCUAGCCUCAAUUUAUAAGGCAAACUAUUAUGCUACCUUAGUACAGUUAAAAUACCGCAGCUGUUAAAAAUCAUCACCGAGCAGGCCCGACUCUUUAUUUAUAAAUAAUACAAAGAGACAUGUUUUUGAUAAACAGGCGAGAUUAUUAUUUGCCAAAUUCCUUUAUAUUAUUUAAUUAAUUAUUUUAUUUUAAUUAUUCACAUUUAAAUAAAUAUAAAUAAAUUACUCCAAUUUUCCAACUUAUACUCAUAUUAACAUUAUAUAUAUUUAAAUUUAAUUUAUAAACAUUUAUAGUUAUUUAUACAACCUGAAUUUAUAUACUUAUCUAUAAUUUUAUUAUUACUUUUAAAGAAAAACAUUAUUAAUUCUACUUAAAUCAACUAUAAUUAUAUACAACCUUCUAUAAAAUUAUAUGAAGCUUACCCCCAUAUAAUACACUAAUAUUAAAUUAAUCAAACAUUAUAUUAAUAUUAUAAUACUUAAAUAUUGUAAACUAAUAAACUAGCUAUCAUAAAAAUCGAUUAAUAUAUCAUUACCACUUAAUAUUAAUUAUAUGACUAUACAACGUCAACACAUAUAAAUCUAUCAAGUAAAUCCUUUUAUUUCGAGAUUAUAUUAUAAAUUUAAUUUAUAUCAUCAACCCAUUAUACAAAAGGUACGAGAAUCAAACUCUACUAUAAAUUAAAUAUAUUAUUUUCCUUUACAGUACUUUCUAUUAUUAACAAUGAUUCUAUACUUUUUAUACUACAUAAUUAAAUAAUUUAAAUUAUUUAAACUCUUUAUUAUUUGAUAUAUACAUAUAUCUAAUUAACCUAUAAUUAUUUUUAUACGCCAGGAACAGCUUCCACUACCCCUACUAUGUUACGACUUAUCUUACUUUCCAGCAAGAGCGACGGGCGAUAUGUACGCAUUACAAAACCUAAUUCAUAAUAACACACUAUUUUAUUUAUUACUACCAAGUCCAACUUCAAAAACUAAUUACAUAGUCUAUAUCCGCACUCAAAAAUUAUAAAUUGUAGCUCAUUUAAUAAACCUUUUUUAUAAGCUGCAUUUUGACUUAUCAUCACAACUAUUAAUUAUUAUGUUUUUAAAAUUUUACAAAAUAAACUGACGACAGCAAUAUACAAACUGUUAAACAAUUCAAAAAAAAGUAAGUAUAAAAUGAGGAUUAUCAAUUUAAUAAACAAGCUCCCCUGGAAGGAUUUGUAACACCGCCAAGUCUUUUAAAUUUCAAACAUAGAUUACUCUUAAUAAAUAAAAUUAUGUCUAUACUACUUUAGUUUAAAUAUAAAUUUUAAGGUAAAGAAUAAUAGGGUAUCUAAUCCUAGUUUUUCUUCUUACUUUCAAAGAAUAUAAUUAAUAGGGUGAUAAAAAUAAUAUUAAUAAUUAAAUUUUACUUACAAUUUAUAUUAACCUCAUUUACCCUACCUAUAUUAUAAUAUAUUACUUUAUUUUAUACUAUAUUAAUAUAAAUUUAAAGUAUUGGUAUAACCGCAGCGGCUGGCACCAAUUUAACCACUUUUAAUAACUACAUUAACUAUAUCAAAUUUCCAUUCAUUGUAUAAAUAUAAAUACUGCGUAGCUUAUAUAUUAACCAUCUUAAUAAAAUAUUAACAUAAUAAUAAUCUAUAUUUAAAUAAUAUUAAACUAAAUUAAAUAAAAAUUAAAUUUAAGCAAAACAAUAUAAAUUUAAACUUAACAUGUAUUAAUUUAAUAAUAAUUUAUAUUAUAACCAAAACCAAGCCAAUUAUAUAUGAAAUGAUAUAUCAUAUACGAUUUCGGCUCGUAAAUUAGGUAUUAUUACCCUUAUAUUUUAAAUGAUAAAAAUAAGAAUUAAAAAUAUAAUUAUAUAACAAUUAAAUGAUAAUAUAAGCCAAUGUUCUAAUAAAAAAAAUAAAAUUUUAUUAAAAUUAAAAACUCCUUGUGCUCCUAUAAUUUCAAAUCACCCUAUAUCUAUAACUUUAAGGCUUAUAUUACUCACAUUUUUAAAUCUUAAUAAUAAAGGUCUACAUAAAAAUCUAGAUAAAAAUCAUAUUCUCCUAUUAACAUAUUUUAUUCUACCUUUAUUAAUUCUGAUGUCCCCUGUACUUCAUGACCUAAAAGAAAUUAAUAAAGAAAAAACAAUUAAAAAAAGAGUAAAUAAUUUUAAUAUAAUAGGUAAAUAAAAAUCUAUACUAAAUAAAAUAAACAUUUUGUUAAAUAAAAAUCCACUCCAUAUAGCCCCACAAACCAGCAAUGAUAUAGGAACUAUUAUUUUUAUAUCAUUAUCCUUUACCCUGCAAUAACUUUCAGAAUUUUCACUACCUCAGAUAAUAAAUAUAGAAAAACGUAUUCUAUAUAAUACCGUUAAACAUAAACCAAAAGUACCUAUAAAUAAUAUAAAAAUAUUUAUUCUACCAAUUAUUAAUCUUUCAAUAAUUAAAUCCUUUGAGUAAAAUCCAGCUAAAAAAGGAAAACCACAUAAAGCUAUAUUAGAAAUGUUUAAAAAUAUACAAGUAAUUGGUAAUAUUUUAGACACAUUAUUAAUUUGACGUAUGUCUUGUUUCCCGCUAUAACAAUGAAUAAUAUUACCCCCACAUAUAAAUAAUAAUGCUUUAAACAAAGCAUGUGUAUAUAAAUGAAAUAAAGCUAAUAUAGGUAUACUUAACCUUAAAGAUAUUAUUAUUACACCUAACUGACUCAAUGUCGAUAAAGCAAUAAUCUUCUUCAUAUCAUAUUCAUAUAAAGCACAAACUCCUGAUAUAAUAGUUGUUAUAAUAGAGAUAUAUAAUAUAAAACUAUUAAACCAGUAAUAAUUAUUUAAAUAAUUAAAAAAUCGAAUAAAUAAAAAAAUACCAGCAGUAACUAGUGUAGAAGAAUGAACUAAAGCAGAAACAGGAGUAGGAGCGGCUAUAGCAGCUGGUAACCAUCUACUAAAAGGUAUUUGGGCCCUUUUUGUUAUACCAGCAAUCAUAAUAAAAAAAUUAACUACUUCAAAUAUUAUAAAAUCUCAUAUACACAAUAUAUUUCAAUGACCUAAAACAACUAAAAUAGAAAUUGAACCUAAAAUAAAACAAUCCCCUACACGAUUUAUUAAUACAGUUAAUAUUCCAGCAGAUAAAGAUUUAUUAUUUUGGUAAUAAAUUACCAAACAAAAUGAGACUAACCCUAAGCCAUCUCAUCCUAAUAAUAAAGAAAUUAAUCUAGGAAUAAAAAUUAAAAAAUUUAUAGAUAUCACAAAUAAUAUUACAACCAAAACAAACCGAUUUAAAUUAGGGUCCCCCUCUAUAUAAGUUAUAGUAAAAAUUAUUACGCACCCAGAAAUAAAACAAACUAAUCCUCUAAAUCUACAUCUUAUUCAAUCAAUAAUAAAAUCAAAUUCAAUAAAUCCCCUUAUACACCUAACUAUCUCCCACCUAAAUAAUAAACCCAAAUUAUUUAAACAUAAAUAAACAGUUAUUAACCUUAUUAAUAUAAAUCAACUAAACAAAAUUAUUCUAAAAAAACACUCUAUACCAAUAACUCUUAACAUA
rnacentral:tRNA from 1 species